CCUACGGGUGGCAGCAGUGAGGAAUAUUGGUCAAUGGGCGAGAGCCUGAACCAGCCAAGUCGCGUGAAGGAUGAAGGAUCUAUGGAUUGUAAACUUCUUUUAUAUGGGAAUAAAGUGAGGAACGUGUUCCUUUUUGUAUGUACCUUAUGAAUAAGCAUCGGCUAACUCCGUGCCAGCAGCCGCGGUAAUACGGAGGAUGCGAGCGUUAUCCGGAUUUAUUGGGUUUAAAGGGUGCGUAGGUGGUUAAUUAAGUCAGCGGUGAAAGUUUGUGGCUCAACCAUAAAAUUGCCGUUGAAACUGGGGGACUUGAGUAUGUUUGAGGUAGGCGGAAUGCGUGGUGUAGCGGUGAAAUGCAUAGAUAUCACGCAGAACUCCGAUUGCGAAGGCAGCUUACCAAGCUAUAACUGACACUGAAGCACGAAAGCGUGGGGAUCAAACAGGAUUAGAUACCCCAGUAGUC
rnacentral:rRNA from 1 species